rnacentral:lncRNA from 1 species
AUUUUCAGAUCUGAUUUGUUCAUUAAAAUCAGAGAUCAUAUGAAUCAUAAAUUUUAUUUAGAUCUAAUCUAAACAAUAUUAUGAUUUCAGAUUUAUUUAUGUUACAAAUCUUAACACAAACAUGCAUCAUAUGCAUCCAAAAUUUCAGAUCUAGUUAAUCAUGCAUAAUCAGCAAUUAAAUCAAUCAUAAAAAUACUUUAGAUCUAAUCUAAGCAUGCUCAUGAUUUCAGAUUUAAUUACAAAAAUUAAAACAUAAAACUUUAAACAUGAACCUGGCUCUGAUACCACUGAUAGGGGGAGUCUCCACUCCUACAUGGGUUCGGUCCUAUUAAAAAUAGGGUGACACCCAUGUAUACCUAUCAGAGCACGCAUCUCUAUACGCCUCCGGACGGAGAGCCACGCUUCGUCACAUGAUCACGCGUGAGAGUUCCCGAAGAUCGGUCACAACUCUUGGACCUUUGCUCUGAUACCACUGAAAGUGAAUCCUAGGUUCUUCGGUGAUAAGCAUGCUGAAUUUUUUUUAAAAAAAAAACCAUGGCUGAACCUGAUCGGGUUGCCUACGUACCCCUUCAUAAGGGGGAUCAAGCCAUACGUAGUU